GUCCAGCUGACGAGUCUCAAAUAGGACGAAACGCGCGUCCUGGAU
rfam:Schistosoma mansoni strain Puerto Rico chromosome 3, complete genome